rnacentral:rRNA from 1 species
GAUGAACGCUGGCGGCGUGCCUAAUACAUGCAAGUCGAGCGAACAGACGAGGAGCUUGCUCCUCUAACGUUAGCGGCGGACGGGUGAGUAACACGUGGAUAACCUACCUAUAAGACUGGGAUAACUUCGGGAAACCGGAGCUAAUACCGGAUAAUAUAUUGAACCGCAUGGUUCAAUAGUGAAAGACGGUUUUGCUGUCACUUAUAGAUGGAUCCGCGCCGCAUUAGCUAGUUGGUAAGGUAACAGCUUACCAAGGCAACGAUGCGUAGCCGACCUGAGAGGGUGAUCGGCCACACUGGAACUGAGACACGGUCCAGACUCCUACGGGAGGCAGCAGUAGGGAAUCUUCCGCAAUGGGCGAAAGCCUGACGGAGCAACGCAGCGUGAGUGAUGAAGGUCUUCGGAUCGUAAAACGCUGUUAUUAGGGAAGAACAAAUGUGUAAGUAACGAUGCACGUCUUGACGGUACCUAAUCAGAAAGCCACGGCUAACUACGU